GACGAACGCUGGCGGCGUGCUUAACACAUGCAAGUCGAACGGAAGGGCCCUGCUUUUGUGGGGUGCUCGAGUGGCGAACGGGUGAGUAACACGUGAGUAACCUGCCCUUGACUUUGGGAUAACUUCAGGAAACUGGGGCUAAUACCGGAUAGGAGCUCCUGCUGCAUGGUGGGGGUUGGAAAGUUUCGGCGGUUGGGGAUGGACUCGCGGCUUAUCAGCUUGUUGGUGGGGUAGUGGCUUACCAAGGCUUUGACGGGUAGCCGGCCUGAGAGGGUGACCGGCCAAAUGGGGACUGAGAUACGGCCCAGACUCUAACGGAGGGCAGCAGUGGGAAUAUUGCACAAUGGGCGGAAGCCUGAUGCAGCAACGCCGCGUGCGGGAUGACGGCCUUCGGGUUGUAAACCGCUUUCGCCUGUGACGAAGCGUGAGUGACGGUAAUGGGUAAAGAAGCACCGGCUAACUACGUG
rnacentral:rRNA from 1 species